ensembl:snRNA U6 U6 spliceosomal RNA
UGGCUCGCCUCAGCAGCUCAUACGAUAAAAUUGGAAUGAUGCAGAGAUUAGCACGGCCCCUGUGCAAGGAUGACCUGCAAAUUCCUGAGGCGGUCCUUAUGUUC